GGGAAGCAAACAGUCAUACAUCUUACCCACAAAAUGAGGCAUGAAAGGUAUCAAGUUUCUGGAGGGGUGAAGAUGGACGCUAUAAAAUAACCCCCACUAGCUCAGAACUGAGCAUAAUAAAGGGUUAUUUAUUUAGGGGUAGACUCACAGAUCACAGUCCUCUGCAAAAAUGGGGAACAGGAACCGAAUCUAGAAGCUGGGACAGAGAACAAGCACAUGCUUUGUGUCAGCAUUUUUUGUAUAAGAGGCCACACCCAAGUGGGCUGGUAUCUUAAAGACCACUGGCUGAAGGAGCUCCCACAGCAGGAGGGGAGACAUCUAUAUGUUUUAUUAGAAUUCUUCGGGAGAAAGAUUACUUCUGUUUUCCUAAAUAUACUGGACUGAUUCCUCAACAAUUUGGUCUUAAGAAUCUGAAGAAAGGAGCAGAAUUAAGGAACAGUUUCACAAGAAAUGUUUGUGGCUGUGCAGCAUUCAGGAUACAUCAUUUACCUACACGUGAAACUAAAUUUAAGGGGAAGUAUUGUUCUGUGACAUAAACGACAAAAUCCAGAAUCAUUCAUAAUUGAAUUAUUUGCUGAAUUCUGUUGGGCUAAUAAUUGGCACAUCCAAGAUUAGAAUCUUUUUGAUGGCAAAGUUCAGUUUGUCAGGCCAUAUUGCACCUAGGAAGAUUUAAGGAUUUAUGGCAAAGUCAACAGAACAAGAAUGCGAGCAACAGAAAUGUGUUUGUCAGGAACUCUGUACUUAGGACUAAACUUUGAGCAAUGACACGCCAGGGUUAGCACUGUUUGCGGUCAGCAUACAAACUGGGGUUCAAAGCUCCUCUUUAUCUUUCCUUGCAGCAGUUGCUGUCUGUCUCCGGUUUUGCUUUCCUCGGCAGUUUCUCAUCCGCUGCUAUGGUCGCCCUCUGGGAGCUGGAGCUAUCCCGAUAUCCUUCCCCCGCGGGGCUGGAGCUAUCCCGAUAUCCUUCCCCCGCGUGCAGUCCUGGGGAGAGGAAGCAAUAUGCCAAUGCCCACUGCCAAUUUCUUCAAACUGAAAAACCGGUGCUGUUCCUACUAUACUCCUGAGUCCUGAGAGUGAAAAGUAAAUCUCUCUCUCUCUCUCUCUCUCUCUCUCUCUCUCUCUCUCUCUCUCUCUCUCUCUCUCUCUCUCUCUCUCUCUCUCUCUCUCUCUCUCUCCUGCCUCCUUCAUAUUCCCAUCAGCAAUAAUACUCUCACCCAGGAGUCUUAUUGGGCCACACUGCAGGAGUUUCUUAGCUGGUCUUGUCUCCUUUGACAACAGCGGAGACAUUUUCAAAACACAAAGAUGAUUUCUGUCAGCUUCCCUUUGUAGUCCUCCCAUUGUCUUAGGAUGAAGUGUAAACAUGAUAAGGUCCCUGAGAUAUGGCUUCUGCCAGCCUUACAAAAAUAAUUUCCCCUAUUAGGUUGGUGAAAUGGCUCAGAGGGCAAAGGCACUUUGUCCAGCGACCUGAGUUCAAUCCCGGGGUACCACAUAAGAGCGGGAGAAGAGAAGAGAGUCUAAAAAGUUAUCUUCCGACUGCCACAUGCGUGUGCCAAUGUCAUACAUAUGCCUUCUUUCUCUUUUUGCCUCUGUAGCACACACACACACACACAUACACACACACACACAUACAAACACACACUUACACAAUAAUAAAGUUUAAAAAAUUUAAACUCACCUCUGCAGGGUGAGUUUCAUCAUUUUCUUUCCUCUGUGUUAUGGGGGAAUUGAACUCAGAGUCUCACACAAGCUAAGUGAACACUCUAUCACUCUGCUACAAUCCUGCUGAGUUGUCAUUCCUGAACUCUGUGUUUCAUAGCACUGCCUUUCUUCCCAUUCCUUAAACACCUCUCCACUACAUGGGCCUUUCUUUUCUUUUACAUUCCCAGAGGUAAGCCUUUUUAUGAGCCUACUUACCUCAUUUUUCUAAGGUUUCUCUGAAAUGUUACUGCCUCCAAAAAUACUUUGCUUGACCUAUACAAAGAUGCCAGGAGCUCCUUCUGUGAACAUAUCACUACACCCAUCAUUUAUCCCAGUAGUGUUGGUGUAGUCAACUGUCCACAUACAUGUCACAGCAUCUGUCAUAUGACCUGGUAGUGUGGAUGCACUCGUCUGUCUGUCUACAUACAUGUCACAGCAUCCAUCAUACAACCCGGUAGCGUGUGUGCAGUCACCUGUCCACCUACACCUGACUGUUAUUGCUGACUCUUCCCAUCAGAGAGCUGAGUCUUGUAUGUAGACUUCACAUUUUUAUUCACUGGAUAAAUAAACCCCCAUCUAUAGAGUUCUACUCCAUGCCAGGGCGCAUUCUGAGCUAUUAAUUCUUGAUAGUUUGUUUAACACUAAUUUAUUAAGAAGGUACUAGUUUUACCAUAAUUUUAUUGAUGAAUAUGUUGAAAAUAAAGCCUGUGUUGAGUUGCUUGCCGAAUGUCACCUGACUGACAGUAGCUACAGUCAAGGCUGGACCCUUCCUUAUACCAAAGUCCAGUUGGUCAGGCCAUGUUGGUUUUGCGUGGUUCCAUGGACUUAGGAAGAAGAGCAGGGGACAAGCAUCUGGGGCGAGCUCAGCACUUGUGACUAAGCUUUGAGUAAAGGCACACAGAGGCUUCCGCUUGUUUGCUUUGGUGUUAGAAACCUCACACAAAGUCAGGAAGUAGAUAAGUGAGGGGCAAAAUUCAAACCCGGUCGCCAAAUCCACGAGUUUAACUGUGACCCUGUGUCGCCAUUCUGGUCACAUGCUUUGGAACUGCAGAGUUUCACGCCACAAGGCAGAGUGCAUAGAUGGAUUAAAGGACGAUGUGAAUCCAGCAGGCCCUGGGCUGAUCUGGGCCGUUCCUCCUGGUUUAGGUGUAGGAGCAUGCCAAUGACUUUGGUAGCCAAUAUAACAUGCCUCUGCCUUGAUGUGUACAUAUUUUCUGCAGUUGUUUGCAUAUUUAUGUGCAUCCUCAUAUAUAGCAUGACUUAUAAAAACCCAGAUACAGAUAUUGGGGUUCAACCUGAAGACAAGAAAUCAAAGCAGUCAGCCACUGACUCUUAAACCUCCCAGCUCUUCAGAACAUCCUGUCUCACAGAAGAGACCAUCAGAUAUGCUAGGCCUGUAGGCCAAGGAUAGGUGACCCAUGCAAAUGCAGCAUGAUUAAUAAAAGCCCAGAUACAGAUAUUGGGCUUCAACCUGAAGACAAGAGAAGCACUGGCUUUUACCUUCACUUCAGUCCUAAAAUGGCAAUCCUGCCUCUAGGAUUCAUAGUCUUAAAUAUCAUAUUUACCAGAUCUUAUUACACAUGAUCUGUCUAGCCGUUUUGAAAAGAUGAUGAAACUGGGUGAGUGGCCUUGCGGAUCAUAUACAUACUAGUCUAAAACUUGUAAUAGGAUGUGUUAAGGUUGGAAGAUCUCAGAGUGGUCAGGAGUGCUGGAGCACACCUGUAAUCCAGGACCUUGGAAGCUGAGGUAGGAAAACCACAAACUCAAAGCCAGUUUUCCACAAACAAAUCAUUCAAAUAGUUGACCAGCCAAGCGACCAAACUAAGGAAAACAUCUCAAAUCAUAUAAAUCCUGGAAGUUAUCAAACAGAAACUCUUAUUCUACUUUAAGCCCUUGUUAUUGGCUAAACACCUUCAUUAUCCAUUCAGAAAGGGUUGCAUUCUGCUUUGACACCACGCUCAGGAACA